UGUUCAAAAGUUUGAAAACAUCAUUCAUCAACAAUGGCCGUGAAACCAACGAAGGCUGAGAAGACGAUCGCAUAUGACCAGAAGCUAUGCCCACUCUUGGACGAGUACAGCCAAGUGUUGAUCGUCUGCCGACAAUGUGGGUUCGAAUCAGCUCCAGGGGAUCGGGAGUGGUCUAAGAGGUGACUCCGUUGUUUUGAUGGGGAAGAAUACUAUGAUGAAGAGGUCUAUUCGUCUUCAUCCGGAGAAAACUGGUAACGAUAACUUGCGCAAGCUCGAGCAAUUGUUGGUGGGAAAUGUUGGGUUGAUCUUUACCAAGGGUGAUUUGAAGGAAGUUAGGGAGGAGAUUGCCAAAUACAAGCAUGAUGAAGUCAUUUGAGAUUGAUCAACUGAAACAUGCACUUGAAGUCGCAUAAACUGGUUUUUAAACAGGUUAUGGCAGCACAUACUUGGGGAAUUAUUAUUUGUCUGGAUGAAACUAAAACCUUGGAGUAUAGUCAGGUGUUUGUGCAAGUUUCAGGCGCAAGAUUUUAUUAUUGCCUUAUUGGAAUUUUUUUUGGAUGAACUUUGCAAGCGUUAUUUCUUGCAUAUUUUCUUGCAUAGUGUGAUUA